GGAGGGUUGUGCCUUACGUGAAUAGUCUUGUUGAUAUUUAGGUACCUUCUCUCUGCUUAUAGACUGAUAAGUCAAGAGCGAGAAAUCAGGUCCUUGUGUUUUGGGUCCCAUGUAGAAUGUGAAUUCAUUGGGUUUGUCCUUAGCAGAGCUUUUAUGCAUGCAGGUACAUACCUCCGUGAUUCACUAAUUGCAUAUGUUUUACUCAUUCUAAUACAAAGUGUAAAAGAUUCUAUGGUUUUGAGUUUUAUAUUUGUGCAUGGAUAAUUGGUG
rnacentral:lncRNA from 1 species